AUUGGGCAAAUGAGGAAUCUCAUUUUAAUGGGUAAUUUGCAUCUGAAUAUUUUCAUUGAUGCUAUCACCUUGGAGAUCUGAUGCUUUUU
rnacentral:snoRNA from 1 species